rfam:Moniliophthora roreri strain MCA 2952 kmer90.96491, whole genome shotgun sequence.
CCGACCUUAGCUCAGUUGGAAGAGCACAAGACUGUAAUUGGUUUACUGUAUAGGUGAUACAUAUCUUGGGGUCGCCUGUUCGAACCAGGCAGGUCGGA